UACAGAGGGGGCAAGCGUUAUUCGGAAUUACUGGGCGUAAAGCGUGCGCAGGCGGUUCGUUAAGUUCGUUGUGAAAGCCCCGGGCUCAACCUGGGAACUGCAAUGGAAACUGGCGGGCUUGAGUGUGGCAGAGGGGGGUGGAAUUCCGCGUGUAGCAGUGAAAUGCGUAGAGAUGCGGAGGAACACCGAUGGCGAAGGCAGCCCCCUGGGCCAACACUGACGCUCAGGCACGAAAGCGUGGGGAGCAAACAGG
rnacentral:rRNA from 1 species